CCUUAAAUGACCUUGUUGUUAAUAGGACGUUAAACAAAAUCAAACAAAAUUAAACCAAAUCAAACCAAACCAAACAUAACAGCCUUUUUACUAAGGAAGUGUUUGCCAUCUAACAUUUUUUUCAGACCAUUUCAAUAGUAAGCAUGGCCAAGAUGUAAUUACAUCAGCCCAGAUUUAUUGGGUUUGGCCAGUUUGCUUGAGUGAAGUAGAUUUUACUGUACACCAUGUACAUGUUGUAUACUCCUCAUAUUGUAGUCUUUUGUGUGUGGUUGAUAUUUUCAUUUCACAAAGACUAAACUCCAGUGCCCAUUUUUGUUUUUUAGUUUUUGAGGUCACAUGAAUGGAAUUGUUUCCAUUUGAGAAUAAGAAGAAAUUAGUAUAAAAUCUUGUUGUUUGAAUGAAUGCCUGACAAACUGAAUUUAUUUUGUUAUUAUGCCAGCAUGAAAUUGUGAAGUAAAUCAUAAGUUUCAGUUUUCUUUGGGACGAUAUCACUGUAAAUUUAGCUCAGCAUGGCUUUGAAAAUGUACCAGUCAUGACCAAAUUUGGAAUAUGCAAAUGUAGUUCAAUCUAAAACUACUACUCCAACAACCAUGUUUGGAUUUCUGUGCAAAAUUUUGGUACUGAGGUUGAAUGCUAGUAUUGGCUUUGGUCGAGAAUUUGUAUUGAGCCCUUUAUAUGUGUUUUGUAUGUUGCUAAAAAUGUAAGUUUAAAAUCUGCUGUUACACACACUGUAUUACCAGACUUUAUACACCGGUGUAGUUAGAUGAUGGGAUGGACCAUAUUUAACCAUAUCUAUUUUAUGGAUGGUCCUGUGGCUGGUAGCUGGACUCACAAAUUUUUGCAUUUACAUUUUUUUAGUUUACCUAGCUUACCUAAGUCAAGAGAACAAUACAGCUGAAGCUUAAGUGCAGCAUCCUCCGUCAUCAACAAUGUUUUCUUUACUAGUCCAGAAUAGCUGUAGAAACUUUAACCAAAUAUGGCAUAGAUCAUGCCCUGGCAAAGGGAAUUCGGUGUUGUAUAUAUAAUUGAAGCGUGCGACUUCCCUAGGAAUGGAAGGACCAUGCCCAAUAUGAGAAAUGGGUGUGAAUCUGUGAAAAGAAACCUCCAUUUAGAUUUAGUGGCAUCAUAUAUCCCCGGGCCAAGGGAAUUCAUCUUGUAUACAUGAAGAGGGUGGCUUCUUUUAGAAUGUAGGGAUAUUUAUAGGGAAAAUAAGGGAAUAAUUUAAACAACUGAUUCCUAUGGAAAUGUGAACAGAUUUUAAUUUGAGUUGCGAUUUCUGGACUAAGGGAAUUUUGUAUAAAUGAAGAAUGUUCCUCGACAGAAUGUUAACCAAAAGCAGAUGAGUUUUAUGUGUAUAAAUCUUCGGGUGAGUUAGGGAUAGUCACGAUGGCCUAAAUUAAGUUAGCGGUAACAUUUUAACAUGUCUAGUACAGAGAAUAAAAGAAACAGAAGAGUGAUACAGAC